GGGCCGCAGCGUGCUCGGUAAACUCCGACACAUCGGUGGACGUCCUACAGGUGCUACCGAUAUAGUACAUCUUCGUCGCUAUUGAUGAACCGAAUUUAUUGAACCGUCGAAGUGUCUAGUAUGAGUAAAAGAACCGGUUCUGAUCUAAAUUAUAUGUCAUCGUGGCUGAAUAAAGUACCUGAAGAAUCUUCAGACGUUCAACAGCCUUCAAAAUUAAAAGAUGAGCAGAUAAAUUCACAGCCUACCACAAGCAAUUUCAAUGAAUUCACAACUGACAUAUAAGGCUAUUUUGGAAAGGGCCCAAAUCUAAUAAAAACAGACAAUAUUAAGGUUAUUUUGAAAAAUACAAGUAAGAUUAAAUCUGCUACCAUAAAUCUCCUUUGAAAUUGGACACCAAGAAUUAUUUCUAUCAUUAUUGGAUACAAAAAUAAAAAUAAACCACUUCAUGGUAAAACCAAUAGGGUAAAGUAAAAGCUUGUAGCGCUUGUGUAUAAUAAUUUUAGUGCCCCCCCCCCCAUAAAACUAAGUCAAAUACGCCAUUGUACUGUACUAUGUAAAAUACUAUGGAUAUGUAGCUAACAAAAACUAUAAAUUAUUUCUCCCGUGUCUCUGCCCUAUUUAUCUGGUAAUAGCGGGCUGUUUUUGAGUACUUUGUUUUGAAAGGCUUAAAAAAA